rnacentral:lncRNA from 1 species
UGUGAUGCCUCCAUCUCGGGUUAGUGUAAUUAUCGGUGAAGAUUAUCAAUUGAAGAAAUCUAUUCUUCGUGAUUACCUAACAAACAAGAAGUACUUUAUUGUGCUUGAUGAUGUCUUCGAUGACAGUGAGAUAUGGGAUGAUCUUGAAGAAGUUCUCCCUGAUAAUCAGAAUGGAAGCAGAGUAUUGAUAACAGUCUCUGAUCCAGACCUCCUUACCUCGUUCGAAUUGCAAAAUGGACAGAAGAUUCGGAGUGAUUCAGUUCUCUUUGGAGGACCAUUGAUUAAAAUAAAGCAUGAAGGCUGGCAAUUUUUCAUCCUAAACUAUGGAAAUACGCCAUUAAAAAGUUAUAUUGGAGAAAAAGCGUAUCCGACAAUUUGGAGUAAAAUUUUUUCUCUGUUGGAGUUGCCUUUUCACUUGAAAGUUUGCUGCAUCUAUUUGCUUGUAAUCCGUCCAAGUAUUGAGAUAUCUACGAGGCAAUUAUAUCUGUUGUGGGUAGCUGAAGGUUUCAUACCAUACAACAGUGAGGAAACAGCCGAUCAUUACUUGAAAGAACUAAUUGAUCGAGGAUUCAUUCAAGUGAGUAAGAAAAGAGCCGGAGGGACAGUUAAAACGUGUUAUGUUUCAAGUUAUACAUUUGUUUCAUUGGCUUUUGUGGCAGCCAAGACAGAAUUUUUCAGGACAACUGAUGCAGAAGAAAAAUCGCCGGCUAACCGGGUCAUCAUUUUUGAAGGUUUAAUUGAGUUCUUUUCUUUAGAACAUUCUGACAUGUAUCUCCAAUCUUUGCUGAAUCACAGUUUAGAAAGCGAUCAGCUUGAUCUAAAAGAUUGCGAGAAUUUUUGUAAAAAGUUCAAACACCUUCGGGUAUUGAACUUGGGUUCUGCAGUUCUCGACCAAUAUCCACCCGGGUUAGAAAUUUUUUUCUAUUUGAAGUAUUUGAAACUGAAUAUCCCUUCGCUCAAAUGUCUUCCUUCACUGUUAUGCACCCUUUUAAACCUUCAAACACUAGAAAUGCCAUCAAGUUACAUAGAUCAUUCACCAGAGGAUAUUUGGAUGAUGCAAAAACUCAUGCAUUUGAACUUUGGUUCCAUCACUCUACCUGCACCUCCAAGAAAUAAUUCCAACUCUUUGAAAAAUCUCGUUUUCAUAUCAGCCUUACACCCUAGUAGUUGUACUCCAGAUAUAUUGGGCAGACUCCCUAAUGUUCAAACUCUUAGAAUAUCUGGAGAUUUGAGUUACUAUCAUUCUGGGGUUUCCAAAAGCCUAGGCGAACUACACAAACUUGAAUGCUUGAAGCUGGUGAAUGAAGGCAAGAUGUGGCAGCUCUCAAGGAUGGUCCUGUCUGAAUACCAAUUUCCUCCAUGUCUGACCCAACUAAGCUUAUCAAAUACUCAGCUAAUGGAGGAUCCUAUGCCGGCAUUAGAAAAGCUUCCACACCUUGAGGUGCUGAAACUGAAGCAGAACUCGUAUUCAGAAAGAAAACUGGCUUGUGUUGGCUCGGGUAGUUUUCCACAGCUCAAGAUUUUGCACCUGAAAUCAAUGCUAUGGCUGGAGGAGUGGACGAUGGGGGCAGGAGCAAUGCCAAAACUUGAAAGCUUAAUUUUGAACCCUUGUGCGUACUUGAGAAAGCUUCCUGAGGAGCUAUGGUGCAUAAAGGGUUUAUGCAAAUUGGAGUUACAUUGGCCUCAACCAGAGUUGAGACAACGGCUACGGGCUUUUGAGGAUAUGGAGUGGCGGUAUGACAUCCAGUUAUAUCCUUCUGGAAUCUAACGGAUUGAAAGGGGUGAGAGUUUUACUUGAUAAUUACUGAUAUGGUAUGACUUUGUUUCACUUACUCAGUAGAUUUAUAAAUGUGCUAUCUGUAAGAAACCUUCAAGGGUUCAAAUUUUAAUUUAUGAUUCUGUUUCCUUUGAUUUGUGUAGGAAAAGUCAAAUGGUGGAAGCAUCAUAUAUAGCUGCAAUCUGGCUUUCAAUUUCAACUGUAAUUUCAGCAUUGAUCCGUUCAAUUCUCUUCAUUUCAGCUGCCUUUUGGGGACAUUAUUUUGAAGCGGAUUUGCCGCCAGUGAUGCCAUGGUGAGUCUAUUGUCCAUAAACUAUAAGGUACGUUUUUGCUGUUGAUGGUAUGUAUUAAGAACUGCUGUGUGCUGAGAACUCUAAGAAAAAGACAUCUAGUCGAAGAUUCAUGAGUGUUCUUCAUGGAUGUAUAGUUUUGGCUGUCUUUGGACCGUACGGAAAUAGACAUCUAGUCAAAUUUUCGUCAAGUGACUGAGGGAAUUGCAACAAUGUAAAUAAUGCCUCUGUGAACUCAUACCUUAUUUGAACUUUAAUUGUAUUGCAAAAGGAUAUGUAUGAAUUAAAAUUUGCAAAUUAGUAGUGUUACUUGUAAUCCAUCACCAGCAAGACUAUAAAUUGUAAGGUAAAGUUCGGAUCAGCAUUCAUUGGCUAAACUGCAGACCAGAAAUACUUGAUCUUGAAUAUCACUUGAGUUGCAUCAAUAAUUAGAGUAAUGUACAUAAGAUCCAUAUUGCUCAAAAUAUAUUGUUCAAAGGAAAAAUAGACAAUGCCUAGAAAUGAAUAUAACUUGCUAUUUCAGACUCUGUGAAAAGAAAAGUAGGGGCAUGCAGACACCAAAUGGAUUAAAGGAAUCUCUUUUGAUAAACAUUGAAAAUGAAUAAAGAGGGAGACUGAAAAUAAAGCAAUCAAAAAUCAAAGAUAAGCUUUUAUAGUAAUUAAUGUUAACUAUGUGAUAAAUAUAAUUAAUUAUAAAGAAAAUUAAUUAAGAGUAUGAUAAAUUUUAUUUAUAAAAUAUUAAAAUACUCUUUUUUUAACCGGAUUUUAGGUCUGAUUGUUAUUGACUCACAAAUACUCUUUUUUUUUUUUUAUAACAGUUCUGUAUUUUAACCGAUGUACCAGGUGUACUAUCAUAUACCAAAAUGAUCACCUUCCAAGAAUUUGAAAAUAUUGGAAGAAAUCUUUGUGCAAUUAUAUUAUCAUGAAGCUUCACGUUAAUUUAUUUAUUCUUUGCUAAGGAGCCUUUGCUUUAAUUACUUCCUUUUUCUGCUUCUUCCACAUAAUUGUUUGAUUGUGGUGCUUUCAGUCAGAAUUAGAUAUCAUUGGGACAUUAAAUCUUUGAUAUACUCAAACAAUCAAUAACAGGUAUUUUAUUAUCUGAAUUAUUCAUAUAAUAAUUUCAUUUUUAUUUAUUUUUUCUCAAGAAUGUUAGAUGCUUUAUUAACCUUCAGUCAAAGUUGUUGCUAAGCGCGGCAAAGUUUGUUUAUGGAGUUUCUGCUUCGUACUUUAAACAUAGAUAUAAUCAUCUCCAGAUUAACAAAUAAUCAUAAUUAAAGCAAUCACCUUCCAAUUUUUGGAAAUGUCGACAGAAAUCUUUGUACAGGAGUGCGGUAAUGACAUACAGUUAUAUUAUAAUGGAACUUUACCUUUAAGAAAUUUAAGAUGUUCUAUUUUCAAAAGGCAUCAAGGACUUAACUUUUUUUCAUUCCCAUACUUUAUCUUAGUUAAUUUAUUUAAGAAUCUUCGCAUUACAAUCUGGUCAUCAUGAUUUAUUUCCAUUUUAUUUUGAGACAAAAGAAUUGUUUUUGAAUUCUCAUUAGCAAAUGUACAUUGCUUUCGUUUUUGGAUUGGCAAAAACAGGGAAAAUAAUAAUUAAACAAGAUUUCAGGACAUCAGCAUCUUAUUCUUUUCUUGAACCAAGUCUUUGUUUUGUUUAGCUUUUGUUAAGAUGCUUUAUUAACCUUCCUCUUUCGCCUUUCCUCCCUUUUUCUCUUAACUUGUGUUUGCUUAUGCGAUCGUUUUCAAUUGUACCAAACACCACUCAUUUAUCAAUAUCCAGUUUGAAUAAAAUUCUACAUUUUGAUUUUUCUGCUUCUUCCACAUAAUUGUUUGAUUGUGGUGCUUUCAGUCAGAGUUAGAUAUCAUCAGGACAUUAAAUCUUUGAUUACUCGAGCAAUUAAUAACAGGUAUUUUAUUACCUGAAUUAUUCAUAAACUAACUUCAUUUUAUUUAUUUUUAUCUCAUGAAUGUUAGAUCAACUUCAGGUUUGUGAAUAAUUAUUUUUCACAAGUUAUAUUUUUUAUCAUUUUCGUAAGUAUCAAAAUCAUCACUAUCAUGUACACAUUGCUUGCACUUUUAUUGUGUAAAAAUCAUCUCCCACAAAUAAUAUUAAAUGAAAUUUACUUGCAAAUUAGAAAAUGUGUAUAUAAUAUUCUUGUAAAACCAUUAUUCUCCCUUGGUGCUUACUAUUAUUAGUACACAAAAUAAAUAAAUAGAUAAAUAACUUGAUGGAGUUGUUUGCGAAUAGGAAUCACUAUUUAUUUAGUUUCGAGUUUCUGCAUUACUAUUAUCUUUUCUGUUAUAUUUGCUUUUAGCAACUCAAGUGCAUAUGAUUUAGGAUGCAUUUGGUAUCUUCUUUGUUAUAUUUACUUUUAUCCUCAAAUGUUGUUUUUGUAUUUGUUUUAUAAUAAAGAUACGAUUAGUUUCUAGAUAAUAUUAAAGCACGUUGGUAGCCUUUGUUAAAAUAGCAUUUGGAAAUGAAGUUUGUAAAAAUGUGUUUGGCAAUUCUUUUGGAAAAAUUAUAAAAUAAAUUAUUGUGGGACUCAUCUUAUUUCCAUUCACUCCUUUGCACAACGCAUUAUCCUGAUUGAUUAAAGUAUUAUUUUAAAGUGUUAUUUCAAUGUUAUUUUCACCAAAUCCAAGAACAUGUCAGAAAAGCACUUUGUGAAAUAUGUUCUUCAUUCUAAUAUUUCCGCGAAAUAGAAAAUGACUUACCAAAAACAAUACCAAACAACUCCUUGGCUAUAGAUAAUUAUUUGACAACAUAAGUACUGAGUUUUGCAUAUAAUUUAUAUAUUUUUAAUAGCUCUGUUUUGCAAAUUCCUGCUAAACAGUACAAGUGAGAGAAGGAGACAUGCUGGACGUCCACCUUCGACUAUUUUGUGAGAGUUUGAAAAGGGUGUUAGCUGGUGAAGAAGGCACGUUGCCGUUGCCUGAUUCAACAAAUUUAACCCCACUUCUUCAAAACCUUCUUACGGAGUCCGAAAUUAUUGCUACUACUCUGCUCGGGAACUAUGAAGCUGACAUGGCUCGGCUUUUGUUUCAACUCAUUAGAGAAGAUUUCGAUGAAUCCAAAAUAUCUUUGCCUUUUUUGCAACUGUUGGACUUAGAAGAAAGCGAUGAAGACGUUGAAACACCAGAUAUUUUGGAAAUUCUGGAGGACAUCAAUCACUUUGUCCAUGGAUCUGAGGAAGCCAUUGACACAUUCUUCAUCAACAUCAUGCAGCAGCAAAACAGUGAAAACGAAAGUGAAAGCAGUACUAAUAUGGCUCUUCUUGUUGGACUCCAGAGUAAAAUCAUUGAUAUUAGAAAUCGGAUGCAACAACUUCCACCCAGCGACAAUGGUUUUGAUAUCAGCGAAAAAAGUAACAAAAUCAUUCGCCUAUUGAUUGAGGGACAAUCGCAGCUUGAUAUCAAUGAAUUUGAAAGGGGCAGAGAGGAGUUGUUUGACUUGUUGAUUGAGGGACCAUCUGGGCUUUCAGUAGUUGCAAUUCUCGACAGCAGUGGCUUCAAUAAGACUGCUUUUGCUGCAGAUACCUACAACAACAAUCAUGUAAAAUUUUAUUUUGACUGUCAUGCUUGGAUCAGGGUUUCUAUACUCUACGAUUUUGGCAAGAUAUUGGAUGACAUAAUCAAGUCUGUGAUGCCUCCAUCUCGGGUUAGUGUAAUUAUCGGUGAAGAUUACCAAUUGAAGAAAUCUAUUCUUCGAGAUUACCUAACAGACAAGAAGUACUUUAUUGUGCUAGAUGAUGUCUUCGAUGACAGUGAGAUAUGGAGUGAUCUUGAAGAACUUCUUCCCGAUGAUCAGAAUGGAAGCAGAGUAUUGAUAUUGGUCACUGAUCCAGACCUCCUUACGUCGUUGGAAAUGGAAAACGGAGAGAAGAUUCGGCUUGAUUCAGUGCUCGUUGGAGGACCACUGAUUAGAAUAAAGUAUGAAGCCUUGCAAUUUUUCAUCCUACACUAUGGAAGUAUGCCAUUAGAAAAUUAUCUUCAAGGCGAAGCGAUUCCGACAGUUUGGAGACAAAUUUUUUCUGUGAUGGAGUUACCUUUUCACUUGAAAGUCUGCUGCAUCUAUUUGUGUGUCUUCCCGCCAAGUAUUGAGAUAUCCACGAGGCAAUUAUAUCAGUUGUGGGUAGCUGAAGGUUUCAUACCAUACAACGGUGAAGAAACUGCCGAACAUUACUUGAAAGAACUAAUCCAUCGCGGCUUCAUUCAAGUGAGUAAGAGAAGCGCCGGCGGCACAAUUAAAGCGUGUUAUGUUCCAAGUUUUGUAUAUACUUCAUUG